rnacentral:rRNA from 1 species
GUAGGUGGCAAGCGUUGUCCGGAAUUAUUGGGCGUAAAGCGCGCGCAGGCGGGUCCUUUAAGUCUGAUGUGAAAGCCCACGGGCUCAACCGUGGAGGGUCAUUGGAAACUGAGGGACUUGAGUACAGAAGAGGAAAGCGGAAUUCCACGUGUAGCGGUGAAAUGCGUAGAGAUGUGGAGGAACACCAGUGGCGAAGGCGGCUUUCUGGUCUGUAACUGACGCUGAGGCGCGAAAGCGUGGGGAGCAAACAGGAUUAGAUACCCUGGUAGUCCACGCCGUAAACGAUGAGUGCUAAGUGUUAGGGGGUUUCCGCCCCUUAGUGCUGCAGCUAACGCAUUAAGCACUCCGCCUGGGGAGUACGACCGCAAGGUUG